UACCUAGUAGUACGGAAUAGCCAUUAGAAAUGGUGGGUAAUACUGUAUAAUCCCCGAGGGGGAAAGAUUUAUCGCUAUUAGAUGAGCCUACGUUAGAUUAGCUAGUUGGUGAGGUAAUGGCUUACCAAGGCUAUGAUCUAUAGCUGGUCUGAGAGGACGAUCAGCCACACUGGAACUGAGAUACGGUCCAGACUCCUACGGGAGGCAGCAGUGGGGAAUAUUGGACAAUGGGCGAAAGCCUGAUCCAGCUAUGCCGCGUGAGUGAAGA
rnacentral:rRNA from 1 species